GUGGCGAAGGCGACUCUCUGGUUUGUAACUGACGCUGAGGAGCGAAAGCGUGGGGAGCGAACAGGAUUAGAUACCCUGGUAGUCCACGCCGUAAACGAUGAGUGCUAAGUGUUAGGGGGUUUCCGCCCCUUAGUGCUGCAGCUAACGCAUUAAGCACUCCGCCUGGGGAGUACGGUCGCAAGACUGAAACUCAAAGGAAUUGACGGGGGCCCGCACAAGCGGUGGAGCAUGUGGUUUAAUUCGAAGCAACGCGAAGAACCUUACCAGGUCUUGACAUCCUCUGACAAUCCUAGAGAUAGGACGUCCCCUUCGGGGGCAGAGUGACAGGUGGUGCAUGGUUGUCGUCAGCUCGUGUCGUGAGAUGUUGGGUUAAGUCCCGCAACGAGCGCAACCCUUGAUCUUAGUUGCCAGCAUUCAGUUGGGCACUCUAAGGUGACUGCCGGUGACAAACCGGAGGAAGGUGGGGAUGACGUCAAAUCAUCAUGCCCCUUAUGACCUGGGCUACACACGUGCUACAAUGGACAGAACAAAGGGCAGCGAAACCGCGAGGUUAAGCCAAUCCCACAAAUC
rnacentral:rRNA from 1 species